AUUGAACGCUGGCGGCAUGCUUUACACAUGCAAGUCGAACGGCAGCGCGGGCUUCGGCCUGGCGGCGAGUGGCGAACGGGUGAGUAAUGCAUCGGAACGUGCCCAGUAGUGGGGGAUAGCCCGGCCAAAGCCGGAUUAAUACCGCAUACGACCUGAGGGUGAAAGCGGGGGACCGAAAGGCCUCGCGCUAUUGGAGCGGCCGAUGUCGGAUUAGCUAGUUGGUGGGGUAAAGGCUUACCAAGGCGACGAUCCGUAGCUGGUCUGAGAGGACGACCAGCCACACUGGGACUGAGACACGGCCCAGACUCCUACGGGAGGCAGCAGAGGGGAAUUUUGGACAAUGGGGGCAACCCUGAUCCAGCCAUGCCGCGUGCGGGAAGAAGGCCUUCGGGUUGUAAACCGCUUUUGUUCGGGAAGAAAUCCUCUGGGCUAAUACCCCGGGGGGAUGACGGUACCGGAAGAAUAAGCACCGGCUAACUACGUG
rnacentral:rRNA from 1 species